AAUUGCAAUUUGGUUAGGCUAAAUAAGGGAUUUUGACUCUGAAUUAUGGUAUAUCAACUCAUAGGUGGACUACUUCGUUAUCUCUUAAGCUUAUGUUAUAUAUAGCAACGUCCUUUUGAUUAGUCUAAAGUUGUAAUCUGCCCAAGUUGAGCAGACAGAUGUGAUCGUAUCCUUGGCUCAAUGAACGUUUAAGCAGAAGUCUCUGGCCUUUUCUUUUCUUUAUUAUAUGAAUAUGAAUAAACUGAAUUUUAUAUAAAUAUAUAAAAUUUCUUAUCUAUUGUGGAUUUUCCCGCAUAUAUAAGUGUACAUUCGUCUUGAUAUUUUUUUUGUCUUUGCACUUGUGUUUGUAGCCUCACUUUUGUAUAAAAGACUGAGGCGAGUCGGCAAAUGAAUCAGUUCGACUUGAAUUGUUUAACAAAAAUGAAGUGGCUCAGCCUUGUAUUGUCUCUGGCCGUGUUGGCAUUGGCCAGCGCCUCCCCCUUGGCGCCUGGAAAUGUGAUUAUAAACGGAGACUGUCGUAACUGCAAUGUCCAUGGUGGCUGAUGGCAGGAGCACAAAAUCAAUCAUAAGCCCCCCAAAAAUUAUGUUUCCAAAUACAUGUGGUACAGACAAAUAUAAAACCAGAGGAAAAAAUUAAA